ACCUGGUUGAUCCUGCCAGAGGCGACCGCUAUUGGAGUUCGAUUAAGCCAUGCGAGUCGAGAGUCUUAGGGACUCGGCAUACUGCUCAGUAACACGUGGAUAACCUGCCCUGUACUGGAGAAUAACCUCGGGAAACUGAGAAUAAUACUCCAUAGACCACAAUGCCUGGAACGGUUUGUGGUUCAAAGCUCCGGCGGUACAGGAUGGGUCUGCGGCGUAUCAGGUUGUAGGGGGUGUAAAGGACCUCCUAGCCAUUGACGCGUACGGGUUGUGGGAGCAAUAGCCCGGAGAUGGAUUCUGAGACACGAAUCCAGACCCUACGGGGUGCAGCAGGCGCGAAAACUUCACACUGCGGGAAACCGUGAUGAGGGAACUCCAAGUGUUAGCACAAUGUGCUAUCUUUUCUUGACUUUUAAUAGGUCUUGGAAUAAGGGGCGGGAAAGACCGGUGCCAGCCGCCGCGGUAAUACCGGCGCCUCAAGUGGUCGUCGCUUUUAUUGGGCCUAAAACGUCCGUAGCCUGUUUGGUAAACCCGUGGGUAAAUCAACGAGCUCAACUCAUUGACUUCUGCGGAGACUGCCAGACUAGGGACCGGGAGAGGUGUAGGGUA
rnacentral:rRNA from 1 species